rnacentral:rRNA from 1 species
UGCCUAAAACAUAGCAUUAAUGCAUCAGAUUCCAUUUUAACUCCGUAGUUAAGUGUUCUUGGGCUAGAGUAGUACUCGAAUGAGUGACCAUCCAGGAAGUCCUAGUAUUUUACAUGC